GCUCCCUUAGCUCAGUCGGUUAGAGCGCAGUGCUUAUAAGCUGAGAACCAGCUAACUAAAAAUAGCUUCAAUCGCUAAGAUACGCCGAGGUCGUGGGUUCGAAUCCCACAGGGAGCA
rnacentral:tRNA from 1 species